rnacentral:rRNA from 1 species
UACGAAGGUCCCAAGCGUUGUUCGGAUUUACUGGGCGUAAAGAGUCUGUAGGUGGCGGGGUAAGUCAGAUGUGAAAUCCCGGGGCUCAACCCCGGAACUGCAUCCGAUACUGCCUUGCUUGAGUAUUGGAGGGGAGCCUGGAAUUCUCGGUGUAGCAGUGAAAUGCGUAGAUAUCGAGAGGAACACUAGUGGCGAAGGCGAGGCUCUGGACAAUUACUGACGCUGAGAGACGAAGGUCAGGGGAGCAAAAAGG